rnacentral:rRNA from 1 species
AUGGCUUUCGAAGGGGAGGUCUCCAGGCUGGCUGCUCGCAUAGCGGCCAGCUCGCCGGCGCGGGUGAGGAUGGCGGUGGGGACACUGGCACGCAGCAGCGCCGCCCGCGCCGCCGCAGAUGCCCUGGUCUAUCUCUUCGUUGGCACCAUCUGCGUCCUCUCCGCCGCAACAUUCCUCUGCGCCGUCGCAUUCCGCGCCUGCGGCCGGAACUGCAGCGUUGCCGCCGCGAUCUUGUUUUAUUCUGGUAUGCUCUCCCUGCUACUCAUGGUGCCAGCGAUGGUACUCUUCUUCCUGCGCGCAGCCGGCAGCGAGGUCAAGUAUGAUGUUGUGGAGGACCGCCUCCGUCCGUGGCCGCUGGACCGGACGGCUGUAGCGAUCUGGAGGUUCUUCGUCGUGGCGACGUCGGUGGAAUUCAUCGGGCUGGUUCUCCAAAUCUGUGGAUUUCCAAAGGUUUCUUACCUUCUGCGCGCUGCGGCUCUGCUGUGCAUGCUCCUAGUCAUCGCCCUCUUCUGCAUCCGUGCUGCUGUGGCGCUGUGGAGGAUGAAUCCUCGACAGUCGGCUGCAGUUGCUGCAUCCGUGCUGCUGUGGCGCUGUGGAGGAUGA